rnacentral:rRNA from 1 species
GUGCCAGCAGCCGCGGUAAUACGGAGGGUGCGAGCGUUGUUCGGAAUCACUGGGCGUAAAGCGCGUGUAGGCGGCCUGCUAAGUCUGAUGUGAAAGCCCGAGGCUCACCCUCGGAAGUGCAUUGGAAACUGGCAGACUGGAGUCCCGGAGAGGAGGGUGGAAUUCCUGGUGUAGCGGUGAAAUGCGUAGAUAUCAGGAGGAACACCGGUGGCGAAGGCGGCCCUCUGGACGGUGACUGACGCUGAGACGCGAAAGCGUGGGGAGCAAACAGGAUUAGAUACCCUGGUAGUCC